rnacentral:rRNA from 1 species
UACGAAGGGUGCAAGCGUUACUCGGAAUCACUGGGCGUAAAGCGUGCGUAGGCGGUUCGUUAAGUCUGUUGUGAAAGCCCUGGGCUCAACCUGGGAACUGCAGUGGAUACUGGCGAGCUAGAGUACGGUAGAGGAAGGUGGAAUUCCCGGUGUAGCGGUGAAAUGCGUAGAGAUCGGGAGGAACACCAGUGGCGAAGGCGGCCUUCUGGACCAGUACUGACGCUGGGGCACGAAAGCGUGGGGAGCAAACAGG